rnacentral:rRNA from 1 species
UGAGUACGAGAUGCUACGGCAUCGAAGCAGUCUAUGUCAUACUUCCAAGAAAAGCUUGCACUGUCAUAAACAAAGAAUGCCUGUACCAUAACCGACACAGGUGGGUAGGUAGAGUAUACUAAGGGGCGCGAGAUAACUCUCUCUAAGGAACUCGGCAAAAUGACUCCGUAACUUCAGGAGAAGGAGUGCCUUAUUUCUAAGGUUGCAAUAACAAGAUCCAAGCAACUGUUUACCAAAAACACAGGUCUCCGCUAAGUCGUAAGACGAUGUAUGGGGGCUGACGCCUGCCCAGUGCCAGAAGGUUAAAGAAGUUGGUUAGCAUUAGCGAAGCUGAUAACUGAAGCCCUGGUGAACGGCGGCCGUAACGAUAACGGUCCUAAGGUAGCGAAAUUCCUUGUCGGGUAAGUUCCGACCCGCACGAAAGGCGUAAUGAUUUGGAUACUGUCUCGGAGAGGGGCUCGGUGAAAUAGACUUGUCUGUGAAGAUGCGGACUACCUGCACCUGGACAGAAAGACCCUAUGAAGCUUUACUGUAACUUGAGAUUGAAAUUGGACUUUAUUUGCGCAGUAUAGGUGGGAGGCGUUGAGAAUAAUCUUGCGGGAUUGUUGGAGCCAUCAGUGAGAUACCACUCUUGUAAUGUUAGAUUUCUAACUUUGUAUCAUUAUCUGGUCAAAGAACAGUUUCAGGCGGGCAGUUUGACUGGGGCGGUCGCCUCCCAAAGGGUAACGGAGGCGCACAAAGGUUUCCUCUGAACGGGUAGAAAUCGUAUCUAGAGUGUAAAGGCAUAAGGAAGCUUGACUGUGAGACCUACAAGUCGAGCAGGGACGAAAGUCGGUCUUAGUGAUCUGACGGUGCUGAGUGGAAAGGCCGUCACUCAACGGAUAAAAGUUACUCUAAGGAUAACAGGCUGAUCUCCCCCAAGAGUUCACAUCGACGGGGAGGUUUGGCACCUCGAUGUCGGCUCAUCGCAUCCUGGGGCGGUAGUCCGUCCCAAGGGUUGGGCUGUUCGCCCAUGAAAGCGGUACGCGAGCUGGGUUCAGAACGUCGUGAGACAGUUCGGUCCAUAUCCGGUGUAGGCGUUAGAAUAUUGAGAGGAGCCUUCUCUAGUACGAGAGGACCGAGAAGGACAUACCUCUGGUGUACCAGUUAUCGUGCCAACGGUAAACGCUGGGUAGCUAUGUAUGGAGUGGAUAACCGCUGAAAGCAUCUAAGUGGGAAGCCCACCUCAAGAUAAGUAUUCUCAU